rnacentral:lncRNA from 1 species
UUCAUUCAAAAACUUCAUUUCAUUUGAAAGAACACAAAAUACAUUAAGUUCAAGUCAUUAAUCACUUGACAAACACAAAAUACAUUACAAACUACCCAUAUCAAAAACUACUCAAACUACUAAACCCAAUCUAUGGCCUCUGAAACCAAACCAUAUGCAACAUUUGCAUGACAAAUACACCAAUUAUAAGUGUUCUAAACAUCUUUAUUUUAUAAGUCAUAUUAUCAAGUUUGGUAUUAACUCCAACCUUGAACGCUCCAUCUAAUUUCUGGUGCCUCUCAAUCUCUCUUCCUUGAUAGAUCUCACCAUCUCUUCCUUGAUCUAAUACAUGUGUUGAAAGUACUUCAUCAUUUCAAGUGCUUGAAUCAACUCCUCAACUCAUACAAAGUAUCCAUGAUAAUCAUAUUCAUCCUCCAAAAAAAAAUUAAUUUCAAAUCUGAAAUUUUAUGUGAUAAAUAAACUCUAAUAUCCAACUCAUUUUAUCAUAAUCCCUAUAAACCAUAAUCCCAAAUUUUCCAGAAUUGAUUUUGGGCAUUUAAUAUAAAAUCUUCAAUCUAUAUUACCUUGUUGAUUAAUCAUGUGUAGAAUGGUCUACCUCUUUUAAUUGACUUUUCAUCAUUAUAAUCUUUGUUGUGAUGAUUGAGUUUGAUGUGAUGAUUAACAAAAAAAUAAGAAUAAUUUAGGGAAGAAAUUAAGGGUUAGGUCAAAGAAGAUGAAGAAGAUGAGAAUGAUAAGAAGAGUGAUGGUGGUGGGGGAGACAAAGGUGAAAAUUGAUGGUGGUGGUGGUUGGAUUUGAUGAAGGGAGAGCAAAUGAGAGAAAAUGUAACUGAAGGGAGAUGAAAAGAGAAAGGAGAAAACCUAUAUGAAAAAGAGGAAAACACAAA